rnacentral:rRNA from 1 species
UACGAAGGGGGCUAGCGUUGCUCGGAAUCACUGGGCGUAAAGCGCACGUAGGCGGGUCGUUAAGUCGGGGGUGAAAUCCUGGAGCUCAACUCCAGAACUGCCUUCGAUACUGGCGAUCUUGGAGUCCGGGAGAGGUGGGUGGAACUGCGAGUGUAGAGGUGAAAUUCGUAGAUAUUCGCAAGAACACCAGUGGCGAAGGCGGCUCACUGGCCCGGUACUGACGCUGAGGUGCGAAAGCGUGGGGAUCAAACAGG